rnacentral:rRNA from 1 species
AACGCGAAGAACCUUACCCAGACUUGACAUGCAGUGGACAGUUCCAGAAAUGGAAUCUCCCUUCGGGGCCGCUGCACAGGUGCUGCAUGGCUGUCGUCAGCUCGUGCCGUGAGGUGUUGGGUUAAGUCCCGCAACGAGCGCAACCCUUAUCAUUAGUUGCCAGCAUUUAAGGUGGGAACUCUAAUGAGACUGCCUGGGUUAACCAGGAGGAAGGUGAGGAUGACGUCAAGUCCGCAUGGCCCUUAUGUCUGGGGCUACACACGUGCUACAAUGGUCGGUACAGAAGGCAGCAGAACCGCAAGGUGAAGCAAAUCCCAAAAAGCCGGCCUCAGUUCAGAUUGUAGUCUGCAACUCGACUACAUGAAGACGGAAUUGCUAGUAAUGGCGAGUCAGCAACAUCGCCGUGAAUACGUUCCCGGGCCUUGUACACACCGGCUAC